CAUGGUAGUUGCACAGGGAGCAUUCCAAACAUGGCUUGAGAAGUUUACGUCUUAGUAUUCACAGGAACAGCUUGCUGGCGUAAGGCAACACCAGCCAGAUACACUGCAGGGACAUUUUUUGCUUGGGUAUCACUGACUUGUCAGGUGGGACCCUGAGCACUACAAGGCAAACAGCUUUGCUGCAGGAUUCACCCUCACAGCUAAGCCCAAGCAGCCCACACUUCCCCAGCAAGGAACGGCUGUGACUUCCAGGCCUGGCUGCAAUCAAGACGAACUUUUUCCCACCAGACACCUGAACGCUAGGAAGAUGCCACCCAGGCCAUGAGAAGCCUGGACUAGGCAACUUUACAGCAGUGAUUCUCUGGGUCCCACCUCAACGACGGCCCCCAAACCCUCGUGCUGGGCGAAGGCCGGUAAACGGCUCCGCUGCCCAUCGCUGGAGGAGAUGCCGACAUCCAUUUUGGGAGUGGGAGAGCCCAACACUGAUGGCAAAGUUUGAGGCCCUGUCCGAAGUUCGGGGGCAGCGCAAGACGGGCACAGAGAGGGCAGACUAACACGUACAAACACAGGCGGCUGAGCUGUGAGGGCAGAUAGCUGAUGCUGGGCGCUGCCUGGAGGAAGGCUGAAGGAACGAGGUCCAGGGAGUGCAGCUGUGGAGAUUCAGCUAUGGAGGUUCCACGGUCCAUUGCUGAAACCUCCUCCUUCAGCAGGUGGACACAAACCCUCUCCUCCUUAAACAGUGCCAGGACUCAGCUGCAUAAAGCCCUGGGUUUGAAGAACAACCCAACAUUAUAGCACAUGCAUCAGAGCACCCAGAGAAAAAUUCAUCCAGUGAAUAUCAGCAUCAGAUUACGAGGCAAGUUUUGUGAACUUUUCUGCAUCAGACAGAUGUAAUUCCAACAAGCCUCUAAAAUCCCCAAUCUCUGCUUUUAUUUCAAUACCUAACAUUUUUAUAACAUUGCUAUUAUUAAUAGACAAAGUCUUAGUUUAAAAACAUAUCCUGAGAUACAUGUAUCAUCUCAGAGGUCUUGUAUCUUGAUAUACAUUUUGUGCUGCAAACAGAAUGUAGCUGGAAGAAAACUGAACACAAAAGAGCAGAUUUUAUCCCAAAAUUUACUACAUAUAUAAACAUAUUUUAUAAAACAAAGGUUAAUAUAUUUGAUAAUAAUUUUAAGUUCAUAUGUGUAUUUUGCUUUUUUAACAUUUCCUAUAUGCUAGUAGCUCUACAUAUACGAACAACUAAACUGCAAGUAAAUUACUAGUCACUUCUUUAGAUUUACUGCACCCUUACGUUUGAGGGUGUUUCUCCUGCUACUGCUGAGAUACAGGAUAAAGGCUACUCAGUACCUCCAGUAAAAGCAGCUUAAUACAACCUAAAAACUUCUCAGGUUUUGAAAACAAGAUGCACAGUUUGUAUGUACUCUUUCACUCUACUCCAUUAUUAAAUAAUAAGAGUGUCAUGACUUGCCCAGCAAGCGAGUUUCAGUAUGCAAGUUGUUAACAGGAGUGAUUGAUUCAGUAUUCAGUUUGAAAAUAAAUGCCUAAAUGCCUGCAUAAAUACCUCAGUGGGUAUUAUUAUUUAUUCUUAUUAUUACUUACUCCAUUUGGUCUGUACAUGAGUGCAGGACACUUGAAGAUAUUCCACUUUGUCAUUUUUAACCUCAGAUUCAGAAAAAAAUAAAUCAGCACUUUCACACUGACUUGCAAAAAAUCAUAAUACUCUAACUUUUACUAAUAUAUUUUAUUAUAAGAAUUGUGGUUUUAAAAAAAAUCAUCAAGAAAUUAGUUUCCACCCCUCAACACACUUUGGUGUGACAAGCCAACCAAACCAAAUCAAAAAUAAAUCCCCAAAGAAAAUACCCAGUGAUAUAUUUAAGAAGUAGAUUUGCAGAACUAAUUGGAAAGGAGUUCUGAAGGUCUGCUCCACCACCUUCCUUGUCUCCUUAAAGCAGGACCAACUUUGAAGGUGGAUCUGACUUUCGAAUUAGCAGGUUGCUUGGUUUCCUUUUGAGUAUCUCUAAGACCGGAUAUUUUACAGCCUCUUCCAGAAUUCUGUUUCAGAGUUCUAUAAAGUUUCUUUGUAGCUGUACUAUUUAUUUAUUAAAGAACUUGGAUGAUAUUUUAUACUGAAGUUAAAGCAUAAUGAAGUUAAUAGAGUGCUCAUAAAAUAACAAUAAAAAGUGAAUAAUGCAUUAUUUACAUUAGUCAGUCAUUCAACUGAAUAAAAGCCUCUAAUAGCUUAGUACCAGACGAAUGGGUCACUUAAUUUUUUUAAAUAAUAUCUUUCCAAUCAUUAAAAGCAAAACCCAGGAGUUUGGGAUUAUAUUUGAUUAAAACCCAGUAUUAUUAAUGAACCUAAGUGUAGUCAGACCAUUGCUCUCCCCAAUGACAGGUGCAGAACUGUAACUAUAAAAGUAGGUUUUUAACUACAACGUAUGACAGACAAAUGACUAAAUCAAUUUAUCACUAGGUAGUACACGGAAUGAGAGGCAUGAACAAACCAAGACAAAACAAACUGUAAGUAAAUACCGUGAAGAGUUUUCUUAGGUAAUAGAAAACCAUUUACUUCUUAUGCUCCAACAAGGUCUCAUAAGCAAUGAAUUUUAACAACUCACACUAACACACUGUCUUUAAUGACUCAUGUCUAAAAUGUGAAUUCCCUAAACCAGAUGAAUCACACAAUCACUUCAAGAAUCUAAAUUAAGUGAACUAGAACUUGCACUUGUCAGCAUAUAUUGAAUUCCAUCACUGUUGGUAUAAGGACAUUGAGAAACCUCUAGGUCCUCAUCUCCUUUAACAAGUAUCAUUUUUUUAGAAUACAAAGUGAACCCAACCAGAAAGAUGAGCUGAUUUUGCAAUUACCAGCCUCCAUCUAGGUCUCCUUUUAUUAAAGAUAUCAACGCUGUUUCUUUAUUAGUUGACCAAAAUUUAGAUUACUUUGCAGGUAGUAUUGUAUUUCCCAGCAAUCACUUGCUGCCAUUGUGACACACGUGUGUACCACAUACAUCAGUACUGGGAACAGUAAAGGCAUGUGUAAAUAAAUGCUUUACCCUUUGAACAAUGCCAGUGAAACUUUAAAAUUAUACUGGUAAAUUACUUCAAGUAAGUAUUAGGAGUCGUACUGCACAUUCAGAAAACUUCACUCAUUAGCAUAGUUCAUGUAUCCAAAACUGCAUAAAAUAGCCCCAAGUCCCUACUUUUAAUUUGCACAUUUAAUUUGUGACAGCUAUUUCCAUAAUUUUCCAUUUUGACACAAAUGUGGCUUUCCGUACAGCCAUCUUACCUUCUUACAACUACAGAAAAUGUGAUGUUGCAUAUUUAUGCAUUAUUAUGCUAUCUAGCUAAUAUGUAUAGUUACUGCAUAAACUUUGUGUAAGUACAUGCACAGAUACUUCAUACAAGUUCAUCACCCAUUAUGAACACUGGAAACUUAUCAAAUAUCCUAUGUUUUUUCCAGAUUAAAAAAAACCAAAAACCAACCCAAAACCCAACAAGAUUUGGAUUACUUCUUAAGCGCAGAGCAUAAAAUGGUAGAAGAAAACCAGGAUAAUUCAGAAAAACAGAGGUGACAGCUGACCACUACUCUUAUGAGCCAUAUUUUGAAAUGUUUCCCAUGGGUAAUGGAGGAAUGGAUGUACACACCACAUUCCGCAGUCUCUAAAUUCAGCUGUCCCUUCAGUUCUCUAGGCUGCCUUGAAAGCAACACAGUAUCACAUACUUCAGUUAUAACACUAUCUUGCAGGUCUCUCAAGCACCUCAUGUAUCUGUAAGAAUCCCUAUCAGAAGCAAGUGUUUCUUCAGCUGUAUUAACAAUGGCAGCAGAGAAGAUGCAAGAGUCUUAAAAAUCAACCAGAGAAAAAUAUGAUGGAAGUAAGAAGGGAUGAAGCAGCAGUUUAUUGUUUACUUCACUCCUGCAUCACAGUAAAGGGGAUCUUCCUACUUUACCCUGUAUUUCAUGACACAAAUAUCAACAUCAAAGGAGCCUCCAGUUUACACUACUUUCAUCUGUCCAAGCAGACAUCAGAGCCCUAUACUUCACUGCAGAAUCAUUUGUAAAGAAAAGGCAUCUGCACAAUGUGUUUAACACAAAUUAAAGUAAGUGAAGCUGACAUUAGGCUAUGUGGACAAUACAACACUCAGCAAACGUCAUACAGCUGUAACCUGAAGGCAGCAGUAAGAGAGGAAGAAGGCAUC